UACAGAGACUGCAAGCGUUAUUCGGAUUCACUGGGCGUAAAGGGUGCGCAGGCGGCCGAGUGUGUGAGGCGUGAAAGCCUGGGGCUUAACCCCAGAAUUGCACCUCAAACUACACGGCUCGAGGCUGGAAGAGGGCAGUGGAAUUCCCGGUGUAGCGGUGAAAUGCGUAGAUAUCAGGAAGAACACCAAUGGCGAAGGCAGCUCUCUGGGACGGUACUGACGCUGAGACGCGAAAGCGUGGGGAGCGAACAGG
rnacentral:rRNA from 1 species